CCCUUAGAUGUUCUGGGCCGCACGCGCGCUACACUGACGAAUGCAACGAGCUUAUAACCUUGGCGAAAGGUCUGGGUAAUCUCCAAAUUUCGUCGUGAUGGGGAUAGAUUAUUGCAAUUAUUAAUCUUCAACGAGGAAUGCCUAGUAAGCGCAAGUCAUCAGCUUGCGUUGAUUACGUCCCUGCCCUUUGUACACACCGCCCGUCGCUCCUACCGAUUGAAUGGUCCGGUGAAGCGUUCGGACCGUGGCCUUUGGACGGUUCGCCGUCUGUUGGCUGCGGGAAGUUCGUUAAACCUUAUCAUUUAGAGGAAGGAGAAGUCGUAACA
rnacentral:rRNA from 1 species